UGUGUAGGCGGGACUGCAAGUCAGAUGUGAAAGUUCGGGGCUUAACCCCGGAAUUGCAUUUGAAACUGUAAUACUUGAGUACUGGAGAGGUAAGUGGAAUUCCUAGUGUAGCGGUGAAAUGCGUAGAUAUUAGGAGGAACACCAGUGGCGAAGGCGACUUACUGGACAGAUACUGACGCUGAGGCGCGAAAGCGUGGGGAGCAAACAGGAUUAGAUACCCGCGUA
rnacentral:rRNA from 1 species